rnacentral:tRNA from 1 species
AUUGCGGUAGUCUAAUCAGACAUCUGAUUUCGACUCAGAAGAACUUAACAUUUAAGCCCCAAUAA